rnacentral:rRNA from 1 species
AUUGAACGCUGGCGGCAUGCCUUACACAUGCAAGUCGAACGGCAGCGGGCCUUCGGGUGCCGGCGAGUGGCGAACGGGUGAGUAAUGCAUCGGAACGUGCCAUUGAGUGGGGGAUAACGUAGCGAAAGUUGCGCUAAUACCGCAUAUUCUGUGAGCAGGAAAGCAGGGGACCGCAAGGCCUUGCGCUCUUUGAGCGGCCGAUGUCAGAUUAGCUAGUUGGUGAGGUAAAGGCUUACCAAGGCGACGAUCUGUAGCGGGUCUGAGAGGAUGAUCCGCCACACUGGAACUGAGACACGGUCCAGACUCCUACGGGAGGCAGCAGUGGGGAAUUUUGGACAAUGGGCGAAAGCCUGAUCCAGCCAUGCCGCGUGAGUGAAGAAGGCCU